rnacentral:lncRNA from 1 species
ACAACUACCAUAGAGAUAUUUAUCCCAUGUAAUUAUAUUCAUAUGACGAUAACUACAUACAAGUUAUGCAAAAACUCACCUUACAAGUUACAACAAGAUGCAUCCAAAGAUUCGUUAGAAAAUUACUCUAACCAAAAUUUGAAGAUAGAAAAUACGAGAUCUCCGGUUACAAAACUGUAAACUUAAAAGACGUUUUCCAAUCAAAUUAGUAACAAUAAUUGAGCCUGAAUAGACACACACACACCUCAGCAAUUUCUCUAACUGACCCAAAAAAAAAUUCUGCAAAUUUUGGAUCAUCAAUAAAUGAAUGUGUGUGUGCUUGAUGAAAAGAAAAACGAUUGAGCAAGAAAGAAACAUCUUAUCUAGAUGAAGAGCGGCGCAUGCAAGUGGCUUCAAUGGUGAUGAAGCAAACUAUGCAGACGAAGAGAAUGAUAAGUCCAACUAUGAUUCCAAAAGUCACCGGAUCCAUUGCUAUUUUCACCUUUAAUCUUUU